rnacentral:tRNA from 1 species
UGGAGGGUAGCUCAGUCGGUAGAGCGCUCGGCUGUUAACCGAGUUGUCGCGGGUUCGAGCCCCGCCCUUCCAGCCA